rnacentral:rRNA from 1 species
UACGGAGGGUGCGAGCGUUGUCCGGAAUCAUUGGGCGUAAAGGGCGCGUAGGUGGCGGGACAAGCGUGCGGUGAAAGCUCGGGGCUCAACCCCGAGUCGGCCGUGCGAACUGUUUUGCUUGAGCACUGUAGAGGCAGGCGGAAUUCCGGGUGUAGCGGUGGAAUGCGUAGAGAUCCGGAAGAACACCGGUGGCGAAGGCGGCCUGCUGGGCAGUAACUGACGCUGAGGAGCGAAAGCGUGGGGAGCGAACAGG